rnacentral:tRNA from 2 species
GCGGGUAUCGUUCAGUGGCAGGACGACUGCUUCCCAAGCAGUAAACGGGAGUUCGAUUCCCCCUACCCGCACAA